rnacentral:ncRNA from 1 species
UAUUUUCCGUUGAAGGGAUAAGUACGAAGAAUGUGGCCUGUAGCAGAGAGCCGGGGCAGCUGAAAACCGGUACAGGGCAGCUUCGAAAAAUGGUCCUCGAGGAAUUGUCUCCGAGCAAGCGCAGCCGGUUUCCGCGCUUCGUAAGGGGAUGACGUAGUUCCGGCGUUAACGGACAAUUCUUAAUGAGCCUCCAACCGGCAAUACGGAGGAAAAUUGGGUGGUACCGCGUGAGUAACAGCUCUCGUCCCAUAC